AUAUAAGAUACAAUACUUAUGACUUCCACAUCAAAAGAAAUGUAAUCUGAUUAUAUCAUUGUAUUUGUUUGUAUACAAUAUCGAAGAACCUGGGAUAAUUAUCCAAGUUAUUUUUUUG
rnacentral:sRNA from 1 species